CAAAUUACAAUCCAAGGAAGUUGACAUGUCAUCACUUCAUUUUUUUGCGCCUGCGCAUAAAUCUGAGAAACGUGAGUUUUGUCUUCAUUGUUUAUCUCGACAUAGGAUAGGUUGUGUGAAAAUAUUACUGAUGUUUAACGUUAAAAAUGGACCAAAAGAUUAAUGCUAAACAACAUUUGACAUGUUUGAACGAACAUAAAUAGAUUAUUUACUAGGUUUUUUUAGCUUUUCGGCGUGAUUUUACAGUCCCCCACCACGUUUUGUGGGAGCAUAAUGAACGCUAAGUACUUGGUGUUAUUUGGACAUAAAUUAUGAACUUUGUAUAAAGAAACCACAUUUGUUCCGGACCUGUGAUGCCUUCCGGACCUGGGAUGCCAGUCUUCUGAUGGAGAUAAUCAAAGGUUGCAGCCCACACUUAAAGACAGCGUUCAAGUCACAAAUGGCCCCUGAUAUUGUAGCUUCCCAUGCCACUGGCGGGGACCAACAGAUGAUAAGAGACGGACCGAGACAAUCAUUGGAUUGACAGCCAUCACCAGCGAAGGAUCUCUUGGGUCCACUUCCAGCACUCACUGGGGUCCACUUAAAGACAGGCUCCGUAUGGACAGACAGCACUGUGGAGCCUAUCCCAGGCCAGCGGUAAUGCUAGCAAGCUGACUGACCCUCAGAGCACUUAGCUACAGACAGUUCAAAGAUUGGUCUCAUGCUUUAGCAGCUAGAAGAGGGUCUCAAAGGACUGUAACGAGCUGGGUCUGGACUUUGGUUAGUUUGUUUGCUUGUGUUUUCAAUCAGGUGGAUUACCUGCCAUGAAAUGCUCAAUAACAAAAGUACUGUACGCUGCCAGGAAGCACCCAGAAAAAUCUCAUUUUUAAGUCCUUACUCCAUUUUUAAUCUGUUUGUUUUGAUCUUAUACACAUGGUGGUUCACAGUAACUUUUUGUCACCCUAUUGAUGUUUUUAUCUAAUGUAUUACUUGUAUGCUGGAUUGUCCUUUAUACUCAAAUACACCCAAAUGUUUUCCUCAAGUAAUUAGUAUUAUUUUUAAUGAGUUAGGGAGCUCUGGGCCUUCUGUUUUUAUCAAUGGGGAAGUUGAGGUUGAUGAUUACCAGGCUAUUAGUAUGUUAGUUUACUACCAUGAGAUACUUCAGUAGGUUUUAUAUUUCCACCCACGGCAUUGUGAGCCUCUUCUGUGUGUGGUGGGAGGAGAGCGGUAAUAAUGGCAGGAAACAAUGACUCUCUACAGUGACAUGUUCAAGGUAAAUAAACACAGAGCUGGAGCGAGAGAGAGCGGGAGAGCCACCUGUUCAGUGAUGGAUAGUCCCUUGAACAACAACACACUACCCGAGGUCAACACUCUCUCUCUCUCUAUCUUUCUCUUUCCCCAUCUCUCUCUCUUUCUCUCCCCAUCUCUCUCUCUCUCUGUCCAUGUGUUCCUUUGUUCCUCAUCCAGAUCCUCAUCCAUGAUGUAUCAUCUCCCAGUUUCCAAACCCAACUCCCAUAGUUUCCCUCCUUCCCUGCCUCCCUUCCUUCGUCUUUCCUAUAGCCUCUAUCUCCUUUCCUCCCUACUUCCCUUCCUGCCUACCUCCCAAAGCUUUCCUUCGCUCCCUCCCUUGCUCCAUCCCGCCCUCUCUGCAUGCCUGCCUGGCGCUCUCCUCUCAAAGCUGUCGUCUCUGCUCUGCUCUGACACUGUCACACAUGUUCUUGUGUGUUUGUCUCCGUCUCUGAGGGGAAAGAUUCAGAAUCUAAUUACCAGGUUGUUUUGUAAUUAAUUUGCAGUAAACACCUAACUCAAUUAGGCAGCAAGUAUGAUUCUCCUCUCUCCUUCACCCACCAAGAUGGUGAUGAUGUUUGGAGCACUCCAACGACUUUCUCACCAGCCAAACUGUAAGGGCGAGGACCCUGGUCUUUUUCCUCUCCCUGCACAAUUAAUGCUUCGUAUUAAUUGUUGUUUCUGUUUAGUUAUGAGUGAAUACAAUUAUGUAAAGAUACUGUAGGACCAACUCUAAUGAUAACAGCAUUUCUAUUUAAUUGUGAAUAGGGAGAUUGAAGCCAGAUUCUAUUCAAGCAUUUUGUUUUAUAAUGAACACCCUCAAAGAUUUUACCAGUGAAAUACUUUUGCUGUGCUGUGAAACUGGUUAUGUUGGAAUUAUGGAAAUAAUUGCUCACCCCAAGAAAUCCCUUAAAAAUGUUCAGUGUACGAUAACAGACUUUUCGGGACCUAGUAGAACAUAUAAAUGUCAUAAGAGACAUGUCAAGUUUUCUGUAAGGCGCUAGUACAUAAGGGGCAUCUGCCAAGAGAUAGCAGUGAAUAUGCCAUCUCAUGUCAUAUGAUCCUAGUGGAGAUGUAAAUCUGCCAGGGGUUUCGAGGGAAAAUCCCUUAUAAUCUUCCUCUCACUGUGUGAAUGUCACUAAUACUGCAAAUGCUUAUACUGCACAAUUUAAACACGCUCCCCAAUCCCCCUUCCCUGAUACAUGUGUAAAUAUUGGACUAUAAAUUAUGCCUUCUUGUAUUAGACUUAUGUAUUAGAUUAUUCUAUUCUACUGAGCCAUCUACUUUAUGUUCAUAUUCUUAUAUUUUGUUAUUUCUUAUUGUUGCAUUGUCGAGAAGGAACCUGCAAGUAAGCAUUUCAUUGGACGAUGUAUACCAUAUGUAUCCUGUACUUACGACUAAUAAAACCUGAAACUUGGCAUGUUGUUUGAUGGCAAGAUAUGACAUAGACAAUUCAGACAGUUGUACCUCCAGGAGUUCCACACACUGCGUCUUGAGACUCGUCUGAAGUCGGUACAGCCCAUCUGCCAACUUCUGUCUGUAGCGUUCCGAACCAUUUGGGCUACACACUAAUAGGAC
rnacentral:lncRNA from 1 species